CGACAUUUGAUCCUCCUUCCAGGAAGGACGCGGCGAGUGCCUCAUCCCCUGGGGCUGCCCGGCUCGACCUUGUGGGAAGAGCACUGGAGCUGCAUGAAAGGCGUGGGAGUGUUCAUCAUUAAAAUGGCAAUUGCAAAGUGAGGCAAUAAAUUUAACAUAAUAAAAGGCACGGGGAGGGUCUCGCUCAUCUGUUGCUCUUCAAAGCAAAGUGUUAGUUGCUCCUGAAAAAUAAAGGAAGAAAUAAAACUGGGAAGAAACAGGCUCUGCCCACCGCGCUGGGGAGAGGCUGUGUGGGGAGCACCUCCCCUUCUUCUGGCUGGGGGGGGGGGGCUCUGUCCUCCUCCCGGGCUGGCCGGCAGCAAGAGGGCUGCGAAAAACUCCGCAGCAGGGGGGGAAGCGGGCAGGGACCCCCACUUUGCCCCCAAAUACCGUGGCGCCGGCGGGUCCCCCCUGGGCUGGGACCACCCGGCUCCCACCUCCCUGCCGAUAGCCAUCUCCAGGCUCCG